CAUCAUUUAAUUAAAAAAAAUUAUAAUUUAGUAAUUGAAUUAUUCGAAAGUAUUUAUUUAAGUCAUUAGAUUGUCAAAAUUGAUGCUUGCACCAAUUGAAAGCUCUCUUCUCGCUUCAUAAUUUGUGAACUAAAAUUUAAGUAGUUUUUUUCUUCGAUCUCUGAUACUGACCGUCAUAUCAACUUGGAUCUAAGACAUGUUCUUCUACUCGUUCAUAAACUGAUCUAUUGUAUUGAUCGUCAAAUCAUCG
rnacentral:lncRNA from 1 species